CGGCCGUGCUUGCACGGUCUGAUUAGUGGCGAACGGGUGAGUAACACGUGAGUAACCUGCCCUCCACUUCGGGAUAACCUCGGGAAAUCGUGGCUAAUACCGGAUAUGAGCAUCCAUCGCAUGGUGGGUGCUGGAAAGAUUUAUCGGUGGGGGAUGGACUCGCGGCCUAUCAGUUUGUUGGUGAGGUGAUGGCUCACCAAGACGAUGACGGGUAGCCGGCCUGAGAGGGCGACCGGCCACACUGGGACUGAGACACGGCCCAGACUCCUACGGGAGGCAGCAGUGGGGAAUAUUGCACAAUGGGCGAAAGCCUGAUGCAGCGACGCCGCGUGAGGGAUGACGGCCUUCGGGUUGUAAACCUCUUUCAGUAGGGAAGAAGCGAAAGUGACGGUACCUGCAGAAGAAGCGCCGGCUAACUACGUGCCAGCAGCCGCGGUAAUACGUAGGGCGCAAGCGUUGUCCGGAAUUAUUGGGCGUAAAGAGCUUGUAGGUGGCUUGUCGCGUCUGCCGUGAAAACCCGAGGCUCAACCUCGGGCGUGCGGUGGGUACGGGCAGGCUAGAGUGUGGUAGGGGAGACUGGAACUCCUGGUGUAGCGGUGAAAUGCGCAGAUAUCAGGAAGAACACCGAUGGCGAAGGCAGGUCUCUGGGCCAUUACUGACACUGAGAAGCGAAAGCAUGGGUAGCGAACAGGAUUAGAUACCCUGGUAGUCCAUGCCGUAAACGUUGGGCACUAGGUGUGGGGGACAUU
rnacentral:rRNA from 1 species